UGAUGGAGGGGGAUAACUACUGGAAACGGUAGCUAAUACCGCAUAACGUCGCAAGACCAAAGAGGGGGACCUUCGGGCCUCUUGCCAUCGGAUGUGCCCAGAUGGGAUUAGCUAGUAGGUGGGGUAAUGGCUCACCUAGGCGACGAUCCCUAGCUGGUCUGAGAGGAUGACCAGCCACACUGGAACUGAGACACGGUCCAGACUCCUACGGGAGGCAGCAGUGGGGAAUAUUGCACAAUGGGCGCAAGCCUGAUG
rnacentral:rRNA from 1 species